rnacentral:misc_RNA from 1 species
GUAGGAGGAGCAUUUGGAAGCUCUGGUGAACCUCAGUAACAUCUCAAUCGACUUUUCUGUCAGUAUAGCAGCAAGUAUGAUAACGAUAAGACCUGGAAUUGCACCAAGUUGCUUGAGCGUAGCCGGAAGAGCCAUGAUUCCGGCGCCGACAAUUGUAGUUGACAGGUUGAAGACGGCUCCGGAAAAGGAAGCUCCAUCGAAUCCGGCCUCGGAAUGACUGAAAGCAUCAUCCUUUUGAGGCAGAAGAGGGGCG